rnacentral:rRNA from 1 species
AGGGAAUCUUCCGCAAUGGACGAAAGUCUGACGGAGCAACGCCGCGUGCGUGAUGAAGGUUUUCGGAUCGUAAAACUCUGUUGUUAGGGAAGAACAAGUACCGUUCGAAUAGGGCGGUACCUUGACGGUACCUAACCAGAAAGCCACGGCUAACUACGUGCCAGCAGCCGCGGUAAUACGUAGGUGGCAAGCGUUGUCCGGAUUUAUUGGGCGUAAAGGGAACGCAGGCGGUUUUUAAGUCUGAUGUGAAAGCCUUCGGGUUAACCGAAGUCGUGCAUUGGAAACUGGAGAACUUGAGUGCAGAAGAGGAGAGUGGAACUCCAUGUGUAGCGGUGAAAUGCGUAGAUAUAUGGAAGAACACCAGUGGCGAAGGCGGCUGUCUGGUCUGUAACUGACGCUGAGGCUCGAAAGCAUGGGUAGCGAAC